rnacentral:rRNA from 1 species
GAUGAACGCUAGCUACAGGCUUAACACAUGCAAGUCGAGGGGCAUCAUGCUUAUAGCAAUAUAAGUGAUGGCGACCGGCGCACGGGUGAGUAACACGUAUCCAACCUGCCGAUAACUCGGGGAUAGCCUUUCGAAAGAAAGAUUAAUACCCGAUGGUAUAAUAAACCGCAUGGUUUAAUUAUUAAAGAAUUUCGGUUAUCGAUGGGGAUGCGUUCCAUUAGGCAGUUGGUGAGGUAACGGCUCACCAAGGCGACGAUACAUAGCCGACCUGAGAGGGUGAUCGGCCACACUGGGACUGAGACACGGCCCAG